rnacentral:misc_RNA from 1 species
GAUGAAGAACGCAGUGAAAUGCGAUACUUGGUGUGAAUUGCAGAAUCCCGUGAACCAUCAAGUCUUUGAACGCAAGUUGCGCCCGAAGCCAUUAGGCCGAGGGCACGCCUGCCUGGGCGUCACACGUCGUUGCCCCCCCAUCUACUCCUUCGGGAUUGCGGGGGGCGGAUGAUGGCCUCCCGUGCGCCUCGUCGCGCGGUUGGCAUAAAUGCCAAGUCCUCGGCGACGCACGCCACGACAAUCGGUGGUUGCGAAACCUCGGUUGCCCGUCGUGUGCGGUCGUCGCGCAUCGAGGGCUCGAAAAAAUUGUCGGGCUCCGGCUCGGCUUUCAACGCGACCCCAGGUCAGGCGGGGUUACCCGCUGAAUUUAAGCAUAUCAAUAAGCGGAGGA